CUACGGAGGAUGCAAGCGUUAUCCGGAUUUAUUGGGUUUAAAGGGUGCGUAGGCGGUUUGCUAAGCGGGAGGUGAAAUGCCGGCGCUCAACGUCGGAAGUGCCUCCCGAACUGGUGGACUGGAAUGGCUCUGCCGUGGGAGGAAUGUGUAGUGUAGCGGUGAAAUGCUUAGAGAUUACACAGAACACCGAUUGCGAAGGCAUCUCACGAAGGGUUGAUUGACGCUGAGGCACGAAAGCGUGUGGAUCAAACAGGAUUAGAUGCCCUGGUAGUCCACGCAGUAAACGAUUAUGGCUAACCGUCGGCGAUACACAGUCGGUGGCCAAGCGAAAGCGAUAAGUCAUCCACCUGGGGAGUACGUUCGCAAGAAUGAAACUCAAAUGAAUUGACGGGG
rnacentral:rRNA from 1 species